CAAAAGUGAGAUUGAUCCACUCUUUGGAUGUUACAAAAUGCUGUUUUAGUAUCACUUCACAGCAGCUGUGCUCUCAUAUCGCUUCCAUCCCAGGAAAACAUAGACUCUGUAAAAUGUGGAAAUCACCUGGGUGACGCCUCCUGAAGGUUUCAGAAGAGCACUUGCGAAGCUCAAAGCUGUUCGUUAUAAAGUAAAUCACUCCAUGGAUAUUAAAACCUUUAUUUUUUGUACCAGACUGUAAAGAUACCUCUUUUUGCUGUGAAUUUGGGCAUUUUAACAUGGGCACUGUCAUACUUUCGGAUACAGCCUCAAGUGGCCAUUUGGGAAACUGCAGUUUUCAACACUUCAAAUAGCGCCUUUGUGGCCGGACCGCUCCUGAAGAAGCUAGCGCAGAUGCUGCAACAGCAUCCAUUGUAUCAGAGUAUCUCUUCGCGGAAAGAAGAACAAAGAACGGCACCGUCUGAGAUUGAGAUUGAUUGCUCAUCCAAUCGCCUGCCAGAUAUCUUUUGUUUUCCAGACGGCCUCUCGGAUUGCUUGGAUCUGGCGGGUCCGGUUAGUUUCGGUGUAAAUGGAAGGGCUUAACUGGACUACAGUUACAGAUUUAGUGGGCUUAGCGUGGAUGUGAGGGAGCAGGCGUGUGCGGGUCUUUGUGAAGUGCCAGCUGGCGGGCCUCUCAACAGCGCGUCACCGACCCCACCUGUGCUCCACACAUUCCUCCACCCGGAACCUCCUUGUCCCGCUCAACCCGGCACCUCCGGCGAUAAAGUGAGAUGUGAGGCUGCCGACCUGUUCAUGUCACUGUAUUUUUGUUAUUCUGACAGGUAGCACAUGCUGUACUCGCUGUCACCGUAAAUCAGAUCACCUGGACGACAUGUACUCAUUCGUGAAUGAAAGCCGAUGAAAUAGUGUCUGACUAAUUCCAUGGCAAAGAAACCUGAACACAAUAAGCGAAUAGAAAAAUAUCCAUAUAUGUCAAUACAGAAAAUAACUUCUUCAAAGGACAAAUUGUUCUUGCUUUAUAGCGGUGCACUGCAAAAAAGAACGUGAAGUACGACCUUGCCCUUUCUUUACUGCAGGCCAGUUGUCUGUUUUGACACUCUUUCACAACACUAAUCUUUGUCCUGCAUUCGUUACACAACGGGGAUGCUAUGGCCUGCAGCUAAUCUGGGAAAGAAUGCAGACAGAUGUAUUAUUGGCUGAGGAGAAUUUACUUGCUGUCAUGAUAUACUCUAAGAACAGAGGUUGUUCUUAGUUUACUUAGUCAUGGCAGCCUUUAAGCACAUAGUCAAAACGAGUCAACCGUCGUUAAGGGUUGACCAGGCAUGAGUGGUGAAUCGACAAAUUGUGAUGAUGGACGGUUAAAGAAACCCUUUUUGUUAUAGAAAAAAAUUAUGGUUUUACAAGAAGAGAGCUCGGCCAAAUACCUCUUAGAGUAGAUGGUGUUAUUUAACAACGGUCCCGUCAGGGAGGUUGAAACACAUAUAAAGUAAGCUUAAGACUUACCUCUUUGACUAUGCUUAUUGUUAGGACUUGUUGACGUUAUAGUUUAAGGCUGGUUCAGGUUUAUAGUAAGGGCUGGUUCAGGUUUAUAGUAAGGGCUGGUUUAGGUUCAUAGUAAGGGCUGGUUCAGGUUUAUAGUAAGGGCUGGUUCCGGUCUAAAUCUGUGUUUGAUUACUGGUCUUUGACGAUGAGGGCGAGAUUGUGAUUGUCUCAUUGAACAUAUACUUUAAGGCUUUGAGAUGUGAGAUGAAUGAGAUUUCGGUACAUCUUUGCAUUAUAAAUCCUGAUAAUCGGGAGAAUAUAUAACCCGUCACAUGAACUAAAAUGGACCAGACUCCAUUCAGCUCCUCUCAGACUCAAUAGAGCAGCCACCACCUUUAUCUUUUCAUCCUGAGGUGACUCAAUUCUUUCUGUCAACUCAAAAGCCGACCUCUUGACCCCGAAGUGACCCCUGCCACCCCUCACCAGGCAUGCUGAAAGGACCACAGGAAGAAAGAACCGCCGCCUCACAGCCUGCAGGGAGCCCCUGACCUCUAACCCCAAACACCCCUCCUCUCUGUUUUUUUUUUUUUUUUUUCACACUCUGAGGUGAUGUUUUUUCCACGCCAUUUGUCCCGGUGCUCUCAUGCACACUCCUGUGUUAUCUUUGGGCCAGCACAAGACCUGUGGCCUCAACAGUUCCAUCAGGGUGCAACCUGAUUUAUUCUUAUAUCAAUAAAACCAUCCAAUGUGAAUGUUCUUGCCACAAAUUAACUGAAAUGGAAAUUCUUUACAAUGACUACAUGCAUAAGUGAGCUUUGGUUAGGUUGGCCACAUAAUACACAGAGUUUACAGUAAAAUGAUGCAACACUUGACCCCGGGGUCAGGCGUUGUCAAAUAAAUGCUCAAUUGCUCUAACACUUGAAACAAGCCAGGUCAAGAUGUCUUUGAAUUUCUUUUCUUUUUUGCCAAUAAACGUGUUUCAACAUCAUUAGACCCUUGCUGAUACCUGACACAGCUGCUGUGUUGGCCGUUAAGAAUUCACCCAUUCACCCAAGAUAUGCUCGGUCUGAAUGGUGCCAUUACAAACAUAAAUAUUAUUUGAAAUCUUAAUAGUACUGAUAGUAGAAUAAUAGUAAUAAUAAUAGUAAUCUUCAAAGAAAUGAAAGUAGCUUAAACCUGAGCUUUGGACUUUUGAAAAAAAUGUCUUGUAGAAUAUUCAAAAUGAUUGGUUGUUUAUUCCAUUUACAUCUGCAAGUUUUUGCUUUGAUUUGGUCUGGUGUUGUCGAUCUGUAGUCUGGAUUUGGUUUGGAUUCUGGAUUUGGUUAAAUAAAUAAUCAGUGUUUACUUUGAUCGUCGGCUGCUGAUUUAUCGACGUCUUGACCAUCAACUUCUAAUAACAAGUGAGAGUGCCAAGUGAGAGUGGAAAUGACCGUUCUGCGUAAUGGCCAAACAUCUCCAUGUCUUUUCAUUCACUAGUACCCCCUGUACUCGCUGAUACCCCCAAACACGCCCCCACCUUUUCCUUCAAUCUAGGUCAGCUUCUCCCUCAUUACAAUUCAACUUUCUCUCACAUUGAAAAUGCAAAACCAAAUCGCAGAAAGCUGAAGGAGCCUCGGGAGGAGGUGGAAGGAAUGGAAAGAAAAAACCCCGGGGAUUACUGCCCCGCAUUGUCCCGCCGCUAAUCCCUCCUCCUCAUCACACACACACACACACACACACACACACACACACACACACACACACACACACACAGAAGGAAAAAAAACAUUUGACACCUUUCAGAAGCUCAGCUCGACACUUCCAGUCACUCCCACACACUCAGGGUUACUCAAAGUCACACAAACAUUCACACGCACACACAGAUCCACAGCGUUUCCUCGCUCUGUCCGCUUGUGCUUCUCAGACAGCAUGAAAUCCUCCCCACAUCGGUGGUGGGCCCCCCCCCCCCCGCCUCUCUUCCCUCCUCGCUUUCAUCCAUUCUCCAUGGCUCCGCCUCCCUUCGGGGGCGCCAUAGGGCUUUUGUGCAGAUCGAUGGCCCGUGGCUAGCCUGGAAGAAGGGGUUAUACAGAGUGCACCAUACUCACUGAUGCAGGAGUUUAGGGGCUUUUAUGAAGAGGGGGGUAUUUAAAUCUCUCAUCCAGGACUUUUCAUCUUCUGUGUGGCUUCCUGUUUGACUAACCAGCCAAUAGCCCUCGAGUCACUCCAGAUUUAAAACACACAUAAUCCAAGUCGGAGAUGAGAGACAGAUCUAUUGAAGUAAAAGGUUGAAAAGAUUCAAAAUGUUACUUUAGUAGAAGUUUUAAACUAAAAAGGUAAGGGUUGUUGUUCUUUUCUUUUUUGUCAUUUAAAUAAAUGCAGUAAAAAUGAACUGAUUUAACAAACACAGUGCAUGUGUAUUCAUGGCUUAAUAUCUUCUUCCUUGGUGCAUAAAUGAGCCCAACUGUCGCCAUUUUUGUUGGCUCACAUCAACGUUAAAUGACUUAACUUCAACAUUGUUGCUUUGCUCCUCUCCUCAGGUGAGGUGCGAGCUUGGUGACCUUUUGACUCGCACCCUUUCCCCUGCUUCUCAUUUUGAAACCAUUUGUUCUCGGUUCCUUUUUUCCUUUUCACUGCCCUCUUCCCCCCCACGUUCCACUCUCUGGGGCAGUUAAAAUGCAGCUGCCGCCAUCAGAUCUCCAUUAUCCAGCCCCGGGGGCAACGAAGGAGAGGAAUUGGGAUGAGAAUUGAGUGUUCGGGAUGAUAUUUUAGCAUUUCUGGGAAGCUGUGGGUGUAGAUCGCUCAAACAGGUGUUACGUUUGUAAAGUUACUCUGAUCUUCUGUGGAUCUUCCUCCUCCAUGAUGCCUAACCCCCAGCCAACGUUCUCCAUUCCCAGAACUCUUAGUGAUUUGAACAGGAGACCUGUACUAUGCAGUUGAUUCAUUUAGUGACUAAGAGACGACCCUCUCCGGUACUUUAACGUUCACAUCCUGUGAAGAAAAGAAAAAUGGUGCUUGAUCAUUUGAUGGUGGAGUACCACUUUAAAGAGAAAAAGCACACCGCAUGACACCAAACAGAGAUUCACCCGACAGUCGUUAUGAAAACAAAAAGACGAAUAACGCGGACGAUAUUCCCUCGCCAAUCGUUUCAUAACCUCGACCAGCUGAACUCUGCCGGGCCGCCACGCAUCCGGCUCGAAUGCCGGCCUCUCCGUCUCACUCCUCGGGAUCAAUUUGGCCGAGUUGAAAUAGGGGUCGAGGCAAUUUAACACUCGUCCUGCAUUUUAAACCAGGGGAGGAAGUCUCAGGGCCGGCCAGGUGGCGGUCAAUUCAGUCAGGGCCGUCUGCAUUCCUGUGUGUGCUUGUAUUUUCUGAGCUGGGAGGGUUGACAGGAGACACUUUAUGUGCACGUUUCUGCAACCAGCAAACGUUGAAGGUCAAAGUUUCUAAACCAAAAAUAUGCUCCAUAAAACCGUUUUCAUUAACGUACUUCUAGUGUGCACCUUCCUGUGUGAGUCCAACAUUUGCGUGUGUAUAAUGUGUAUUUUUCCUCCCACGGUGUCACUAGAUGAUGCGUUUCAUUGAGAGAACUGCAGGUGAGGAGGUCCCUCUCCGCAAGAAGUCCACUGGGUCCAUGUGGGUAAUGUUGCAGACACACAAUGUUCAGGAUUUUAUCUCACGUGAACAUCAUAUGUUUGUUCAAUACUUUUGUUUUAAAAAUAGUAGAUAGAGCAGCUUUAAAAUAACCGCGUAUGAGUCUGCCUCGAGGGAACAGGCGGCUGGAGGGUGUGGAGGGGAGAUGGGCGGAGAAACCCAUGGCCCCCUCUUCCCCGUUCGCCUCGAGAGAAUUAACACCUGCACUUAGUGCACACUUGUCUUUUCUGGAUCCAGCCCUGACAAAUGCCCCCUUUUCAUUGUGUCAAACACAGGACUUUCACCCAGGUGAAUGCUGUUAGCAUCCCGUAACCAACGCGUCGACAUUCCACAAACUGAACUACCGUCACGCGGUACGCAAGAUUUGCAGGUAUUAACAUUGAAACUGGGGGGUCACAUGACUCUCCAUUAAUCCUCUAAGCCAGGGGUCUCAAACUGCGGGAGUCCGGCGUCCGGUGCGGCCCGCACCAACCGUAAUGGUCUGGCCCGCGUUCGGUCGAAGCGCGAAGUGAGUUUGAGACCUCUGCUCUAAGCCUAAACUCUCAGUGCAGUCUGAGCCGUCCUUUGGCUCAGUGCAUUGGGUCAUUGACACGUUUCUUUGAGAACUCGUCUCUUUCCGUCAGCACAAUAUAGCAUCACUUUGCUAAAUCCGCUCGAGUCCCUCUUUCCUUGGUGGUUUCACACGUCAUGGAUUCCGGGGGGGAAGAGGCGAGCCGUCGGCACAAAGAGGAUAUUGAUUUCACCACGCUUCCCCUUCUUACCUUUCACCUGAAUGUCACUCCGACAGAUUGCGACUGUUUCUUUGCAAAGAGAAGCGCUGGGUCGGAGGUUUUGGCGUCUUAGGAUGACGUCGACUCAGCUCAGGAAUUCCUUUAAAAAGGUGCGCUGUGGAAACAAAAAGCCUGUGUGUAGGUUCUGACAAAUGUGGUCGAAAUGUGGAAGCUGCAGAGACGGGCUCCGCGAGCAGAUGGGCAGUUUUUUGUACAGUGAAUUCCAUGUACAGGAAACAGAUUAAUGACUUUACCACUUUGUAGACACGACCCAAAGGAAAGAAACUCAAAGUGCUCAGAAUUAAAACUCUUUGCUUUUUCUUUAUGUGUGAAGAUUUGUUUUAUUAUUCUAUGAGCCCACAUAAUAGACUGUAUGUGUAUGCAUCGUCACAUACAAGACAGAUGUGAAUAUGUACUUUUGUUUAGUUAGAUGUUGAGUUAUUGCCUCCAACCAGAGACUAGAAGAGGUGGAUGUCACCUGUUGGCUCGUGGAAUGUUUUUUUAAAGACUCAAAGGUCUUUAAAAGGUCCAUGAAUUAAUCGUUUUGUUUUUCUUUUUGGAACCAGAAAGGGCAUGAGGAAUAAACAUUGUGUAUUUUCAAGGAUCAGAGUCUGUUUCUCAUUUAUUAAAAAAAGGUCUUGUAGAGGACAUCGUUGAAGCCCGGUUGACCUCAUGUGCAGCUCCACAAGCUGAUGCUGAAAAAAAACGAGCUCCUCGCCAUCCAUUCACCUCCUCCCUCCCACUCACAGCCAGCGAGGCUUCUUUCAGACCAAGGACGCCCAGCUCGCCCCCAUCCUGCCGGUUGAAUAUGAUGUGUAUUUACUUAUCCAGCCGCCGUUGGCCUGACAACUAAGCCUAAGGUGUGAUUCAACGAGGACGCACAGUAUGUUCUAUAUUUACAUACUUUUUCUGAGAAUAAGGAUAUAAUUGCUCUUGAUAGCACAGCGAGAUAAAUGAGGAGGGAGAAGAUGUUGCAGCGGUUCCAGAACAGGUUUGAAUUUUCACAGAACUCCAGUUAUUGGGACUGACACUUUCCAUCAGAGCUUCAUAUGAAAUAACAAACUUCCUUUAUUUUAUUGAAUGCCAUGGUCAUCUUCAAAGAAUCUCUGAUAACAUAUUUGGAGGACAUGGUUACUAAGGCAAUGAAAAGACUUAAUAUGCAGCCUUGCAUUCUGUUUGAUCUAAUUUCUUCCUUUAUCUGUUUUGGAUACCAGUGAAGUGGAGGGAGACACAUCAGACGAACGGGGUCAAAAUGUAAUUUAUACGUGUAGAGUGCAGCUCUUAAGUCUCCAACGCACACCUGUCACCUGUAGCCCCCAUCAGCUACUUCCUAAAGAAGACAAACUAAAGCUGCAUCAAUGUUUCAUGAUGAAUUACAGUAUUUACCUCAUGCAAAUGUCAAAGUCUUCAUACCUGGCCGUCAACAACAACAACUCAAGUUGUGACAGCCAGAAAUGGCCAGUGCAGUUAGCAUCACAUGCGAGGUGCAUUUUGGGUCUAUUUUGGUGGAUGUCAACCAUCCUGUGAAGUUUUCUGUUUGUCAUCCAACAGUCGGUGAAGUGUGCUGGGGAUGAUGAAGUGCCAUUUCCUCCCACUGUCUCCCUUAUUAGCUCUCUCUCCCCUCUCAGUUGUGUCAGCAGCAUUACUCAUACCUGGGCCGGGUGCACACCGGGCUGCCAGGCCUGGAUCCGCCUUAAUCACCCACUUCCACUUCCUGUUCCUCGACCUGCCAACAGCUCGCCGUGGGCGGACGCUGAUGACGGGAAACGGCACAGCCGCACCAGCGAGAGAGGCGGAAGGAGGCGCUCUGGGCGACUGGGAUGUUAUUAUAGUUUCACUGAUGGGGGGGGGGUCGACCGGGUGGAGAAGCGCGGGCGACCGAG
ensembl:lncRNA